GACGAACCGAGCGAACGUUAUUCGGAAUCACUUGGGCUUAAAGGGCGCGUAGGCGGGCCUGAAAGUCAGUGGUGAAAUCCCCCAGCUCAACUGGGGAAGUGCCUCUGAUACUUCAGGCCUCGAGCGAGGUAGGGGCGUGCGGAACUUCCGGUGGAGCGGUGAAAUGCGUAGAUAUCGGAAGGAACACCGGUGGCGAAGGCGGCACGCUGGACCUCUUCUGACGCUGAGGCGCGAAAGCCAGGGGAGCGAACGGG
rnacentral:rRNA from 1 species